AGGCCAUGUUGAGGGCAUUCCUAGGGUAGAUCCUUGAAUCUCUCCAUAAGUUUAGAAAAUGACUCACUAAGCUUUUGCCUAAACUGAAGGAUAUCACUUCGAAGCUU